rnacentral:rRNA from 1 species
CCUACGGGGGGCAGCAGUGAGGAAUAUUGGUCAAUGGGCGCUAGCCUGAACCAGCCAAGUAGCGUGAAGGAUGACUGCCCUAUGGGUUGUAAACUUCUUUUAUAUGGGAAUAAAGUGCAGUAUGUAUACUGCUUUGCAUGUACCUUAUGAAUAAGGAUCGGCUAACUCCGUGCCAGCAGCCGCGGUAAUACGGAGGAUCCGAGCGUUAUCCGGAUUUAUUGGGUUUAAAGGGAGCGUAGGCGGGUUGUUAAGUCAGUUGUGAAAGUUUGCGGCUCAACCGUAAAAUUGCAGUUGAUACUGGCAGCCUUGAGUACAGUAGAGGUAGGCGGAAUUCGUGGUGUAGCGGUGAAAUGCUUAGAGAUCACGAAGAACUCCGAUUGCGAAGGCAGCCUGCUGGACUGUAACUGACGCUGAUGCUCGAAAGUGUGGGUAUCAAACAGGAUUAGAUACCCUGGUAGUC